rnacentral:rRNA from 1 species
UCGAGAAUUUUUCUCAAUGGGCGCAAGCCUGAAGGAGCGACGCCGCGUGGGGGAUGAAGGGUUUCGAUCCGUAAACCCCUGUCAUUUGUGAACAAUGGUUAGUAUUUAAAAGAUGCUGACUUGAUAGUAAUGAAAGAGGAAGGGACGGCUAACUCUGUGCCAGCAGCCGCGGUAAUACAGAGGUCCCGAGCGUUGUUCGGAUUCACUGGGCGUAAAGGGUGCGUAGGUGGCGAGGUAAGUUUGAUGUGAAAGCUCAGGGCUUAACCCUGAAAUGGCAUUGAAUACUACCCUGCUGGAGGUUUGGAGGGGGGACUGGAAUUCUUGGUGUAGCAGUGAAAUGCGUAGAUAUCAAGAGGAACACCAGUGGCGAAGGCGAGUCCCUGGACAACACCUGACACUGAGGCACGAAAGCCGGGGGAGCAAACAG